AUAAGGUUGAAAAAGCCCUGACCUUCCUUCUUUAUCUUUCCAAUGUAAAGAUUUUGUACUUAUAGGUGGGAAGCCUCAUAUCUUAAUCCUUGUAAGCUAUUUGAUGAUUGAUUAACAGGCCAAGAAGCAGGCCACCAGUUUUCCUUCUAUUUGUAAUUGUAAAGUGGGACGAUUAUCCAAAUCUAAAGAUAUGUAGGCCACAUUAGUUUCUGUAGAACCAAGUCCUUUAUCCCCUCUGAGAUUCUGGCUACUAGAGGACAUGUUAUGCCAACUAGGAGGGAUCAACAACUGAACAAUGUGAUCUCUAGGAGAAAUGGCCACAAUACCUUGGGGUGCAGAACACAUAAUCUUAACUUGUCCCUCAUAAUCUGAGCCUAUAACUCUGGGAUGUAUUUCAAAGCAGAAGAGGACCUACCCAACUACUAGUAGGCCCACUGUAAGGGACCUCUAAAAUCUGAGGGAAUAGGUUGGCACCCCAUUUGUGGUGUCUGGAAUGCUCCAUGCAUUUGAGGUUUUUUGCUGUUGCAUUUUAAGCUGAGGUAUUGGCCUUUCUGUUAUAACUCUGGUUGAUCUGUAAUUAUCUAUUCAGUAUCUUUCUUUUUCACAUUUUGAGCAAAUGUCUGAUAAUUUCUUUUUAAACCUAUUUAUUCCAUCCUUUGUACACUGUUUAUGUACACGACCUGUUUUCUUGUUAUUUAAAAUGACUCUAACCCGAGUUUUCGAUUUUAAGCAAACUUUCUGUUACAAGCAAAAGGCUGCCUGUCCCUUUAAGAGCUGACUCUCAGCCACAGCGCUUUUUGCUCUACAGCCAGCAGAUCCACGUUUUAUUUUUUGUUUUUUACAUGAAACACAAAACAGUCAGUCAUUCAGACAACGAAACAAUCAUUUAGACAACGAAACAAAAGACAAACAUGAAUUGAUAGACAUGGACAAUUUCUGGUGCACCAAAUAGACAAUACACAGACAGAAUAUAACUCAGUGUCUCAAAUGGACACAGAAAUCCCAACUAGAGCUAAGCUGCACAGUGGCUGUUUACUGUUCAGCUGCUCCACCCACUGAUAUAGCUCUUUGGUGACUAUGGCGGCGAGCCACGCAUCUCUUCCGCCUCUCUUGCCGCCAGCCUCUGGCAGCCCUGCCCAAGCCCAGCGGGCAGCCGCGGGUCUCUACCUUUUGCCUCUAAGUCUGUGGCGGCAAAGAUAGGAUCUCGUCGUGACCGUGCUGCAGACGAACUGAUUCGUACAUCAGUUAAGAGAUGAGUAAGUUUUAUUAUGGGUCAGUAAAAGUUAAAAGGGAAGACAUUGUUUCUGUCAGUCUUUAAGCACAUGUUGUCUGGCAGAAGCCUAAAGGUCUCGGAUAAAUUUUAUAAUUUCGUGCAAAAAAUCAGUUCCUGGUUUCCAGAGGAGGGAAGCUUAACAUUGGAGGAUUGGAAGCAAGCAGGUAGGAUACUUCCUCCCUCAGAAGGGACUGAUAUAUUAAUAAAACAAUUGGCUUGGGAAAACAUGAAUACCUUGUGCCAAGUCCUGAACAGACCAAUCUGUAAGACAAGUUCCCUACAAGAUUAUAUUAAAGCAUGUAUAGAUACCUCACCAGCCAUAAUUCAGGGGAUAGCUUAUGCUGUAGCAAGGAAAGAGAAGAAGUUCGGCGCUACUUAUGGAAUUACAUGUUUUGGUUGGAAAAAACCGGGGUACCUGGGAAAAGAUUGUAAAAGUCUCUCAGGAGACAAGAAGAGCAUUCCUUUGGGUCCCUCCCAGCAUUGUGACAAACACUGGAAAAUUGAAUGUAAAUCAAAGUCCCAUAAGGAUGGGACUCUGCUCACUAAGAAGCAGGUAAGACAAAAAACUAAAGGGGCAGUCUCUUAGCCCCGUCCAGAAACUGUGGAGCUCAUUAUAGGACACAGCUCCAGUUAUAAGAAAAACCUCUAGUUGUGGAUUCUGAUACUUUAGGUAAAAUUAAAAGUUAUGGUUAAAUUAUGGUCAAACAAUAAAAAGAGACUUCAUAAAGGUCAAAAUAUAGGUCACUUCUUACUGUUACCUUAUUUACAAUUUCCCAAACCUACAUUGUGCUAAAAAUUCGUAGAAAAGGCUUUAUUGGAAGUGAAGUCAUCUCCUAAAACAUAUAUAAUUCAUUCUAUAAAUGGUAUUUUUGCUGGUUGCAGAAAAUAGAGAGCAUUUUUGCAGAUGGCUACAAAAUAUAUGACUAAGUUUGGACUGAUGAUGGCUUCAAAAAGAUUCAGCAUGGUAAACUUUUAGGCUACUUGAGACAUUUAGUGUAUAGAGAUUGUGUGUUUUCUCAAAAAUUUGCCCUCAGAUUAAAUAAAUUAGUUUUGGAUGCUUGCCAGAAGCUGUUAGAAAAUUUUGGAUUUUAAUCUUGGUUUGACAACCUGCCUCUUACAAGCAAGAAAGGAAAGGAAAGGAUAAAAGAAAAUGGAUUUUAGAACUCUCCCAGGGACAGAGAGAAAUCGGGGGACGCCCUGUUUUAUUCUCUCUGGCACCUACAGGAGAAAUUCUCUACCCUCUUUAAAUUGUCUAAUGUUUGGUGCACCAAUCACGUGUCAAUUCAUGUAUGUCCUUUGUUUAGUUAUCUGAAUGAUUAUUUCGUUGUCUGAAUGACUGACUAUUUUAUGUUUCAUGUUGAAAAAAUAAAAUAAAAAUAAAUGGUUAAAACUUUACCUGCUGAUUCACUCUCAGUUUGCACAAAGGAAGCUGAGAGAGGCCCCUUACUUUAGCCAUAAAUCAAGCACAGCAAGAGAGGUCCUGCUUUAAAAAAAAAAAACUGUUUUUUAAAGAAAAGGAAUCUGCAACCUCUUAGUUCUAAGGCAAAUAAGCUGAUAGUCAUUUUUUCCUAAAAAAUUCUCUGCAAGUUUGUGAUUAUUGUGUUUAGCAAAUGACGAAUCGCUUUUUUAUCUUAUAAGUAUAGCUAUAAAACGUAAAAUUCUUUGAUUGAUCUAAAUUUAUAAGAUUCCUGUAGCCACUUCAUUUGGUUUUGAUUGGUCUUAAAGGUAUAAAUAUGAUCUGCAUAUCUUGGUCAUAGAGAAUUGGCUUAUAAGUUAUUUGGGUAUGAUUAAAAAGAUGUAACACUGGUUACAAAGUUAACUUAAAAGUAGUAACUCAGGGCUAGAGUCAUUUUCAAACAAAAGCACCUGACAUAAACCAGCCCAGAAAACUAUUCCUCUAAAGAUACUUCUAAAUUGAGAUAAUAUUUUAUGUAAUUCUCAUCCUAAAAAGUAGACUUAUAGAGAUAAGAUUUUAAAACAAUGUCUCUUUAAUGGAACAUUAAAAUUUAAACUGUCAUGCAUUAAUGAAUUGGCAGCCAAACUUUAUAACGUGAUCGUGAUGUUUCUAGUAUUGAUUUUAAGGAGAAUAAAUUGUUAAAAUUGGGUCUUACUUACCAAAAGUUAGAGAUAUAUUCUAAUAUUGCAACGGAAACUUAAAAAUUAUGGUUAAAAUGGCCAGUGUCCCAUUGACUGCAGUUUGCAGUUUAAUCAAAAGCUUAAGAUUUUUAACUCACUCAUAAUUAAGAUUAUUACAAGAGUAAUCAUCUUAUAAGAGUGCUAAUGCUGCUCACUUUGGCCAUUCAGCCAUACAAAGCAAGGCAGAGUUAACUAGAUAUAUUCGUCUUUGUGCAGAAAUUAGACCCUCACACAAUCAGUUUGGCUAUGGUUGCGGCCUUGCAGGACCAUAAAAGGUCAUAAAAGAAAAUGUUUAAGGUAUAAGUCAUCUUAAGAAAGAUUGUCCAAAACCAGAGGCAUCAACAGACAGUUAAAUUGUUCCUCUGGAAUCUGUCCUCAUUGCAGGAGGGUCAAGAUGCUCAGAUUAGAAAAUAUAUACAUUUGGGUUGAUACAAAGCUUAGAGCAGCCUCAGGGAAAUUUGUGCAAAGUUUCUUGUGUUUUGCAGACUGAGCCUAGGGAAGUUCUUGAAACUUCACCCCUCCCUGCCUUCAGGGAGGUUGCUAAACAACAUUUUCCUUUCAGAUCUACCCAGGUGUUGUUUAUAAUAAAGUCUAAAUUCAAGAUUUAUAAAAGGUCAAUCAGGCUAUAAAACUUAAAAAGGCAUUACAAGAUAGCUUGCCUACUUCAUAUAAAAUUAUUAUAGAUUUGAAAGUUUAUUUUUUCUAUUUGUAAAGAGUUUACUUCUAGUAAACUAGUGACUAUUAGAGGUUUUUGCCCCUAGGUAUGGCUAAUAUAGUCUUAUAUUAUGUAAGAAAUUUUCAUUGUCCAAGCUUCAAUACAAGAAGCAAAAAGUUUAAAUCUUUCAGUAUAUAUUGUUUCCUAAGUGGAAAGUAUUUUAUUAGCUAAUGUCUCUAAAGGAAAGUUUAAACUUCUGGGGAAUAGUUGUUGCUUCAUAAGAUUCAGAGGCAAUAUUUUUUUAAUAAUUAGGGUUUUAGUUAUACUGGAAAAAUUGGUACAAAUUUACUUCAAAAUUUUAUUUUCAAAAGCUUCCAGGAGAUGUUAAUUGGCUAAGACCUCACCUUAAAUUCACCACAGGAGAAACUAAGUCUUUGUUAGGUGCUAUCAAGUGAGAUUCAAAUUAACUGGAGAGAAUCAAAAAGGAUUUAACAGAAAGUAGAGGAAACUUCUGUAAUCUAUUGGUAUCGAUUGUAAUUGGUGGUAAUCAAAUAUUAGCUACAUAUUCUAGUUAUUGUUAUUAAAUGUGUCCAUAGCUAUUUUUGGCAAGAAUAAACAUUAAUGUAAAAUAAUCCUUCUUCACCUCAAAGUUUUAACAUCCUAUUAUAAGGCUGCUGUGGUGCUAAUUAAGAAUUAAGAAUUCCUUGCUCCAAACAGCAAUUGGUUAUUGCAGAAUAUUGAUAUUUGACCUAUUGCAUACCAUCAUUUUAAAUAAAAUUGAUAUUCAUCCUAAAAAUAAGUUAAUUGCUUAUAUGCAUGCUUUUGUAUCUUCUAUAAAUUCAUACAUGCAUGCAUCCCAUUUACUGUAUUUAAAAACAACCCUUAUAUGGGACAAAAAUAUAUGUGAAUUGGAUCACAUGUUUAUUCUUUUGAGUUUCUACCUGGUCCAGCACAGAUAAUUAAAUUAUGUGCUGUAGAUGGUGUUUUAAAAUCUUGAAGAUUGCCUGGAAAAGACCUCUUAAGGCAAUGCCAUGCUAGAUUUAUAUCCCAGGUAGAUUAUGGAUCUUAUACAAAAAUAAUUAACCAUAUAAUCUCAUUCUUUACAUCAUCAAAAUAGUAAUGGCUUGAAAUAAUAAUUUGAUAUUUAAAAUAAAUAAAUAAAUAAAUAAAUAAAUAAAGGUGCAUGUCAUAUUGUAAAGAUUUGCUCUCAGUGUCCUCAGUUUCUACCUGUUCCAAACAUUGGUGUUAAUUCUUGAGGACUUAUACUUAAUCAAUUAUUGCAAAUAGAUGCUCAUUUUUGACUUUAGAAAAAUAAAAUUAUGCACAUGUGACUAGUGAUACCUUUUUAGUCUUUCUAAUUACAACUGCUUUAACAAGAAAAGCAACUAAAAGUAUAGUUAGUCAUUGCCUGUGUUGAUUUUUUCUUAAAGUUGGUGUUCCAAAUCAAAUUAAAACUGGCUAUCACAGCCAAGCAUUUGAGAUGUUUUGUCAACAAUUUAAUGUUAUCCGUGUUACUGAGAUUUCUAUAAUUCUCAAGGAAACAGUAUUAAAUCUAUAUCUUUUUAAUUUAAAUGCCAAACAUCUCUCUGAGUGUCUAUGGCACCCUAUAAUCAGGCAUACUCAUGAGAUAAAGGGAUCCACUUAUUGGCACAUGGCAUGAUCCUGUUCAGAUACUUAAUGUGGGGAAAAGGGGGAAUGUUUCUGCUUUUUUCACAGACUGCUGCAAGAGCAUGCUAGCCUCCAAUGUGACAGGCUGACCUGUGACCUGUGAGUGCCCUGACAGUGGUGACCACAGCAAUGGCUUGUGCUGUAAGAUCAGGAAUUGACAAAUGGAACCUCAUAAAAUUGCAAAUCUUCUGUAAGGCAAAGGAUACAUUAAAUUACACAAAAUGGCAAGCAACAGAUUGGCAAAGAUAAAGAGCAAUUUGCAAAUUCAUGUGGAAUAACAAAAACCUAGGAUAGCAAAAACUAUUCUCAACAAUAAAUGAACCUCUGGUAGAAUCACCAUGCCUGACUUCAAGCUGUACUACAGAGCAAUUGUGAUAAAAACUGCAUGGUACUGGUACAGACUUAGUACCAGUCUUAAAUUCAAUAGGGGACUAAUAUCCAAUAUAUAUUAAGAACUCAAGAAGCCGGAAUCCAGAAAACCAAAUAACACUAUUAAGAAAUGGGGUACAGAGCUAAACAAAGAAUUCUCAAUGAAGGAAUACCAAAUGGCUGGGAAGCACCUUAAAUAAUGGACAACAUCCUUAAUCAUCAGGGAAAUGCAAAUCAAAAAACCCAGAUAUUCCACCUCACACCAGUCAGAAUGACUAAGAUAAGAAAUUCAGGCCACAGCAGAUGCUGGUGAUGAUGUGGAGAAAGAGGAACACUCCUCCAUUGAUGGUGGGAUUGCAAGCUGGUACAACCACUGUGGAAAUCAGUUUGGCGGUUCAUCUGAAAAUUGGAUAUAAUACUACCAGAAGAUCCAGCAAUACCAUUCCUGGGCAUAUACCCAGAAGAUGCUCCAACUUGUAAUAAGAACCCAUGCUCCACUAUGUUCAUAGCAGCCUUAUUUAUAAUAGCCAGAAGCUGGAAAGAACCCAGAUGUCCCACAACAGAGAAAUGGAUACAAAAUAUGGUACAUUUACACAAUGGAGUACUGCUUAGUUAUUAAAAACAAUGAAUUCAUGAAAUUCUUAGAUAAAUGUUCGGACCGGGAGGAUAUCAUCCUAAAUGAGGCAACCCAGUCAUAAAAGAACACACAUGAUAUGCACUCACUGAUACGUGGAUAUUAGACCAGGAGCUUAGAAUACCCAAGGUCCAAUUUGCAAAAUACAUGAAACUUAAGAAGAAGGAAGAUCAAAGUUUGGACAUCUCGAUCCUUCUUAGAAGGGGAAAUAAAAUACCCAUAGAAGCAGUUAUAGAACAAAGUUUGGAGCAGAGAAUGAAGGCGUGACAAUCCGGAUACUGCCCCUCCAGGGCACCCAACCCAUAUACAACGACCAAACCCAGACACUAUUGGAGAUGCCAACAAGAGCUUGCUGACAAGAGCCUGAUAUAGCUGUCAUCUGAGAGGCUCUGCAAGUGCCUGACUAAUACAGAAGUGGAUGCUCACAGUUGUCCAUUAGACAGAGCACAGGGUCCCCAAUGAAGGAUCUAGAGAAAGUACCCAAGGAGCUGAAGGGAUUUGCAACCCCCCUAGGAGAAACAACAAUAAGAACUAACCAGUAACCCCAGAGCUCCCUGGGAUUAAACCACCAAAUAAGAAAAUACAAGGAGAGACUCAUGGCUCUAGCAGCAUAUGUAGCUGAAGAUGGCCUAGUCAGUCAUCAAUGGGAGUAAGGUUCUAUGCCCCAGUAGAGGGGAAUGUCUGGUCCAGGAAGCAGGAGUGGGUGAGUUGGGGAGCGGGGUUCGGGGGGGGGGAGAGGAUGGUGGAAUUUUUGGAGGGGAAGCUAGGAAAGGGGAUAACAUUUGAAAUGUAAAUAAAGAAAAUAUCUAAUAAAAAUGGAAAAAGAGAAAGAAAAAGAGAAAGAGAAAGAGAAAGAGAAAGAGAAAGAAAAAGAAAAAGAAAAAGAAAAAUAAAGAGAGUGAAGCUUUCCAAUUUAAAGAACCAGGAAACAUUAAAAGUCUUGGAAAGAUCAAGAUUUCAAGGCCCAUACCUAAACAUGAUAAAAGCAAUCUACAGCAAACCAGUAGCCAACAUCAAAGUAAAUGGUGAGAAGCUGGAAGCAAUCCCACUAAAAUCAGGGACUAGACAAAGCUGUCCACUUUUUCCCUACAUAUUCAACAUUGUACUUGAAGUCCUAGCCAGAGCAAUUAGACAAGAAAAGGAGAUCAAGGGGAUACAAUUUGGAAAGGAAGAAGUCAAAAUAUCACUUUUUGCAGAUGAUAUGAUAGCAUAUAUAAGUGACCCUAAAAAUUCCACCAGAGAACUCAUAAGCCUGAUAAACAAUUUCAAUGAAGUUGGUGGAUAUAAAAUUAACUCAAAAAAGUCAAUGGCGUUUCUGUACACAAAGGAUAAGCAGGCUGAGAAAGAAAUUAGGGAAACAACACCUUUCUCAAUUGUCAAAAAUAAUAUAAAAUAUCUUGGCAUGACUAUAAGGAAGUGAAAGAUAUGUAUGAUAAGAACUUCAAGUCUCUGAAGAAAGAAAUUAAAGAAGAUCUCAGAAGAUGGAAAGAGCUCCCAUGCUCAUGGAUUGGCAGGAUCAAUAUAGUAAAAAUGGCUAUCUUGCCAAAAGCAAUCUACAGAUUCAGUGCAAUGCCCAUGAAAAUUCCAACUCAAAUCUGCAACGAAUUAGAAAGAGCAAUCGGCAGAUUCAUCUGGAAUAACAAAAAAACCUAGGAUAGCAAAAACUCUUCUCAAGAAUAAAAGAACCUCUGGUGAAAUCACCAUGCCUGACUUAAAGCUGUACUGCAGAGCAAUUGUGAUAAAAACUGCAUGGUACUGGUAUAGUGACAGACAAGUAGACCAAUGGAACAGAAUUGAAGACCCAGAGAUGAACCCACACACCUAUGGUCACUUGAUCUUUGACAAGGGAGCUAAAACCAUCCAGUGGAAAAAAGACAGCAUUUUCUACAAAUGGUGCUGGCACAACUGGUUGUUAUCAUGUAGAAGAAUGCGAAUUGAUCGAUUCCUAUCUCCUUGUACUAAGGUCAAAUCUAAGUGGAUUAAGGAACUUCACAUAAAACCAGAGACACUAAAACUUAUAGAGGAGAAAGUAGGGAAAAGCCUCGAAGAUAUGGGUACAGGGGAAAAGUUCCUGAAUAGAACAGCCAUGGCUUGUGCUGUAAGAUCGAGAAUCGACAAAGGGGACCGAAUAACUUGCAAUGCUUCUGCAAGGCAAAAGACACCGUCAAUAAGACAAAAAUACCACCUACAGAUUGGGAAAGGAUCUUUACCUAUCCUAAAUCAGAUAGGGGACUAAUAUCCAAUAUAUAUAAAGAACUCAAGAAGGUGGACUCCAGAAAAUCAAAUAACCCCAUUAAAAAAUGGGGCUCAGAGCUGAAAAAAGAAUUCUCACCUGAGGAAAACCGAAUGGCAGAGAAGCACCUGAAAAAAUGUUCAACAUCCUUAAUCAUCAGGGAAAUGCAAAUCAAAGCAACCCUGAGAUUCCAUUUCACACCAGUCAGAAUGGCUAAGAUAAAAAAUUCAGAUGACAGCAGAUGCUGGCGAGGAUGUGGAGAAAGACAAACACUCCUCCAUUGUUGGUGGGAUUGCAAGCUUGUACAACCACUCUGGAAAUCAGUCUGGCAGUUCCUCAGAAAAUUGGACAUAGUACUACCAGAGGAUCCCGCAAUACCUCUCCUGGGCAUAUAUCCAGAAGAUGUCCCAACUGGUAAAAAAAAGACACAUGCUCCACUAUGUUCAUAGCAGCCUUAUUUAUAAUAGCCAGAAGCUGGAAAGAUCCCGGAUGCCCCUCAACAGAGGAAUGGAUACAAAAAAUGUGGUACAUUUACACAAUGGAGUACUUCUCAGCUAUUAAAAAGAAUAAAUUUGUGAAAUUUCUAGGCAAAUGGAUGGACCUGAAGGGCAUCAUCCUGAGUGAGGUAACCCAAUCACAAAGGGACUCACACAAUAUGUACUCACUGAUAAGUGGACAUUAGCCCAGAAACUUAAGAUACCCAAGAUAUAAGAUACAAUUUGCUAAACGCAUGAAACUCAAGAAGAACAAAGACCAAAGUGUAGACACUUUGCCCCUUCUUAGAAUUUAGGAACAAAACACCCAUGGAAGGAGUUACAGAGACAAAGUUUGGAGCUGAGACAAAAGGAUGGACCAUUUAGAGACGGCCAUAUCCAGGGAUCCAUCCCAUAUUCAGCCUCCAAACGCUGACAUCAUUGCACACACUAGCAAGAUUUUGCUGAAAGGACCCAGAUAUAGCUCUUUCUUGUGAGACUAUGCCGGUGCAUAGCAAACACAGAAGUGGAUGCUCACAGUCAGCUAUUGGAUCGAUCACAUGGCCUGCAAUGGAGGAGCUAGAGAGAGUACCCAAGUAGCUAAAGGGAUCUGCAACCCUAUAGGUGGAACAACAUUAUGAACUAACCAGUAUCCCGGAGCUCUUGACUCUAGCUGCAUAUGUAUCAAAAGAUGGCCUAGUCGGCCAUCACUGGAAAGAGAGGCCCAUUGGACUUGCAAACUUUAUAUGCCCUAGUACAGGGGAAUGCCAGGGCCAAAAAGUGGGAGUGGGUGGGUAGGGGAGUGGAGGUGAGGUUAUGGGGGACUUUUGGGAUAGCAUUGGAAAUUUAAAUGAGGAAAAUACCUAAAAGAAAUAUUUUUUUUAAAAGGACACAUGCUCCACUAUGUUUAUAGCAGCCUUAUUUAUAAUAGCCAGAAGCUGGAAAGAACCCAGAUGCCCCUCAACAGAGGAAUGGAUACAGAAAAUGUGGUACAUUCAUGCAAUGGAGUACUACCCAGCUAUUAAAAGAAUGAAUUUAUGAAAGAUUUACUUUUAAAAGUAUUUUGUUUAAACAAUGCCUCAUGGGCAAAUAUGGACAUUGAUCUGCAAAUCUCAGAAAAUAAAAACUUAAACUAUAACAUUUUAUGCAUUGCAGAACAUCCUAUUUAUAAGGCUCCAACUUGACCCACUUUAACUUUUAUUCAGUAUAUCGUGUUUAAUAUUGAAGACUGUUAAAAGAGUUAAGAAAAAAAUUAAAAUUAAAUUAGUUAAACACUCCUCCAUAGUAAAACAAGGUCUACAUGCUGUUUCAAAUAUGAAUGCCCCUCCCAGAUUCAUAUGUUUGAAUGGUUGGUUUUCAGUAGAUUGAACUUGAUGAAAUUAAGAUAUGUGACCUUGUUGGAGGACAUUUUUCACUGGGGGUUGGUUUAGAGGUUGAAAAUGGUCAUUCCCUUUCUAAUGAGCUUUUCUCUGUCCCUCUGUGUCUUGGCCUUGCAUAUAAGGAUAUAAGCUCUUAAUUAUUGAUCCAGUGCUUUGCCUGCCAGUAUGGUGCCAGGCUCCUUUCAAGAUGAAUGUGGACUCAUGCCCUGACAUUGUAAGCAAACUCUAAAUGAAAUAUGUUGUUCUAUUGGUUAUCUUUGUUCUGGUGUUGCUUCACAUGGAUAAAAAUUAAUUAAGACAAAAGUUGUUAGCA